UGAGGUGGUCCCUCCGAGCAUAUCGGAGC
rnacentral:sRNA from 1 species